UUCCUACGGGAGGCAGCAGUGAGGAAUAUUGGUCAAUGGGAGAGAUCCUGAACCAGCCAAGCCGCGUGAGGGCCGCCGGCCCUCUGGGUUGUCCCCCUCUUUUGUCGGCGCCCGCAACCCGGGACGUGUCCCGGACUGCGUGUAUCCGAAGAAAAAGCAUCGGCUAACUCCGGGCCAGCAGCCGCGGUAAUACGGAGGAUGCGAGCGUUAUCCGGAUUUAUUGGGUUUAAAGGGUGCGUAGGCGGUCCGUUAAGUCAGCGGUAAAAUUGCGGGGCUAAACCACGUCGAGCCGUUGAAACUGGCAG
rnacentral:rRNA from 1 species